rnacentral:rRNA from 1 species
GACAGAGGGGGCAAGCGUUGCUCGGAAUUACUGGGCGUAAAGGGCGCGUAGGCGGGAUGGCAAGUCGGUCGUGAAAUCCUUCGGCUCAACCGAAGAACGUCGAUCGAUACUGCUGUUCUUGAGGGCUGCAGAGGAGACUGGAAUUCCCGGUGUAGCGGUGAAAUGUGUAGAGAUCGGGAGGAACACCGGUGGCGAAGGCGGGUCUCUGGGCAAUUCCUGACGCUGAGGCGCGAAAGCUAGGGGAGCAAACGGG